AAGGAGAAGAAACCCAGGAUCAUUGUGUUUGAAGCUGGGAGACAUGUCCUGAAGUCCCUCUGGCUGAAUAACUGUGACCAUCCCACCACCACCGCAGAAGGAAACAGCAAGCUUUUUUGUGAAUCCCUUUCCUAGCAGCAAGCCAGGAAAAACGGAGCGUUGGCUCUUGCUUGGACUGUCACACGCUUGAAUUCAAGCAAUGUUUUCUCCUUUGGCAGAGAAGGAGCGAAGCCACCCUCUGCUUUGGAAGCAGCCUCUGCUUCCCUUCCUGCCUUUCCCUGAGGAUUCCGGGGGUGCCAGCUGGGUCUCAGGGGGCAGCAAGCAGCUCUGUGGGGCUGGUGUCUCUGUGGCCAUGUUCCUUUGGGCAGCUCCCUAUGCGUGACACAGCACAGAGGGAGUCCCCAGAGUUGAAGAAGCCUCGGGACAGUGCUGGCUGACAUAGAGUUUGGACUCAGUGAUCCUUGCGGGUCCCUUCCAGCUCGGGAUAUUCUGUGGUUCUAGGAUCUGAGGGAAGGAGCACUUGUUACCAGGAAGCACGGGUCUCACAGAUGCCCUUUGAAGGUGCUGGGCAGGGCUGAAGUGCAGAGUUCCUGCAGCAGGGAUGCAGCGGAAGCCUGGAGGAAAAGCAGCUAUGGAGAUAACGGCAGCAGUGACAAUCAGAAGAGGUGGGAUCGAGCUCAGCUCCGAGACAACCCGUCGGCUGAAGCAGACAUCUGUUUCCGUGGAAAAAGUCAUCUGUUGCUGUGAUGAGCCUUUGCCGCUCCUUGCCUUGGGGGAGCUGGAAGGAAGGGAAGGAGGGAUGGAGGUGGCUGAUGUGCUGCUGAUCGGGCCUGGCUGUGCCUGAGCCAAAGACAAAGCACCUGUCAGCUCUGCUGUGGGCAGCCCUGCUUUGCUUCAGAGCCACACCUUUCACACAAGCACGAGCAUCCUCAAACGCACCCGAGCUCCUGAUGUGCUGCCAAGGGUUUCUGCCAGGCUCUGCUUCCAUCGUGCGCGAGCACCAGGGCAGCCUGGAGAGUAAACAAUGUCCUUUAAUAGGAACAGCGGGCAGCUGCUUCUAGUGCAGGCAGAAAGGAGCGUUCCCCAUUCAGAGUUUGCACGGGGGAAGCAGGAAGGCAGAAGGGGAACCGAAAUGCCCUGAUUUGGAAGUAAGUCUCUAGUAGAAGGGCUGCUGUCUCGUGUGCUACGGCCAGGGGAGAUAUUUUUAUUCAGUGGGAAAUAUUCUGUGUCUGCUCAGAGCAGAGCCUCCAGCCUGAGUCUCCCAGCCCUCAGAGAGUGUGACCAUGACCUAUGGCAGGCACAGGAGCUGCUGCCAGCUCCUCAGGGCCUCUGUGUGGGGCUGGGGCUGCAGCCCUCUCCCCAUUGCCCUUCCCCUGUCCUGAGGCCUAACCUGCUCCCUGCAGCCAUCCCAUUUCCUGUGGCCUACCUUGCUCCCUGCACCCUGCAGGACCGGGAAGGGAGAUGCCAAAGUGUGAACAAGAAUGCAAGCAGCAAAAACAGUGAAGUGUGUGGGCAUCGCUCCCAUUUCCAUGAGAACGAGGAAAAGAAGGAGAUGGGGAGCCUGGCUCCAGCUGUUGGUUUCCUGCUGCACUGUCACCCACUGAUGGGCUCCCUCCUUGGCUCAUCAUGCUUUUCUCCCCUUUCCUCAUGCAGGCUAUUCUCAGUGGAGUCCAGCUGCUUGUCCUGCUCACUGCAAGCCCCAGGCUUUGAGGGCAAAGCACCUGCAGCUGGGGGGCUGGGAGAGGGCCUGCUGCAGGACUGUCAUCAUUAAGUGAUCCCUUCUCAAGGUUAGUGUUAAUUUGAUGUGAAUGAUGGGAGCUGAAAGGCCCAUCAGCAGGGCAUUUUGAACAAAUCGAGGUGAUGGCUCUCUGGAGGAGCUGUUUGCGGUGGAGACUUCAAUCUGGAGCUAAAGGGUUCCCACGGUAUCUGCAGUCGGCUUUCCCCAGACAAGUCCCAACUCGGAGGCAGUUGCACAGCAGCAAUCCGACCCAACGCCGUCCCUCUGCAAGGAUGUCCCACUGGUGUCCUGCUGUCCAUCCCGCAGCAUGGGAGGGCUCAGCUGGCCGUGCCAACAGCCCCAACCAUUUGCCAUGGCUUGGGGAUCUCUGAGCACACAGGAUGCUCAGAACAGGAGGAAAACAAACACGGAUUGCUGGGUAGGUUAUGUUUGCUCACCUGCUG
rnacentral:lncRNA from 1 species